GCAGGGGUGGCUGAGUUGGACAAAGGCGCCGGGCUUAAGAUCCGGUCCCGAAGGGGUUCGCAGGUUCGAAUCCUGCCCCCUGCA
rnacentral:tRNA from 1 species